rnacentral:rRNA from 1 species
AAGCUCGUAGUUGAAUUUCGGGGUUAGUAGGUUGGUCAUGCCUCCGGUAUGUACUGGUCUCACUGAUUCCUCCUUCCUGAUGAACCGUAAUGCCAUUAAUUUGGUGUUGCGGGGAAUUUGGACUGUUACUUUGAAAAAAUUAGAAUGUUUAAAGCAAGCUAACGCUUGAAUACAUUAGCAUGGAAUAAUGAAAUAGGACGUUCGAUCCUAUUUUGUUGGUUUCUAGGAUUGACGUAAUGAUUAAUAGGGAUAGUUGGG